rnacentral:rRNA from 1 species
GGAUUCCCCUAGUAACUGCGAGUGAAGCGGGAAAAGCUCAAAUUUAAAAUCUGGCAGUCUUUGGCUGUCCGAGUUGUAUUCUGGAGAAGCGUUUUCCGCGCUGGACCGUGUACAAGUCUCUUGGAAUAGAGCGUCGUAGAGGGUGAGAAUCCCGUCUUUGACACGGACUACCAGUGCUUUGUGAUGCGCUCUCAAAGAGUCGAGUUGUUUGGGAAUGCAGCUCAAAAUGGGUGGUGAAUUCCAUCUAAAGCUAAAUAUUGGCGAGAGACCGAUAGCGAACAAGUACCGUGAGGGAAAGAUGAAAAGCACUUUGGAAAGAGAGUUAAACAGUACGUGAAAUUGCUGAAAGGGAAACGCUUGAAGUCAGUCGCGUCAUUCAGAACUCAGCCUGGCUUUUGCCUGGUGUAUUUUCUGGUUGACGGGCCAGCAUCAGUUUUGACCGCUGGAAAAAGGCCAUAGGAAUGUGGCACCCUCGGGUGUGUUAUAGCCUGUGGUCAUAUACAGCGGUUGGGACUGAGGACCGCAGCACGCCUUUAUGGUUGGGGUUCGCCCACAUUCGUGCUUAGGAUGCUGGCGUAAUGGCUUUAAACGACCCGUCUUGAAACACGGACCAAGGAGUCUAACAUGCCUGCGAGUGUUUGGGUGGAAAACCCGAGCGCGUAAUGAAAGUGAAAG